rnacentral:tRNA from 1 species
AGGGUUGUGGCUCAGUGAUAGAGUACUUGCCUAGCAUGCAUGAGGAACUGGGUUCAAUCCCUGGCACUA